GACUCUGGAGCCGGUGGCGGCGCUGCGGCCGGGAGGAGGGCGGCGAAAGCAGCGCGGCCGGGUGAGGUUUCCGCGGCCAGACCAGCCGGCUCUGCCGCGGCGAACUUCCCGCGGACGCUGGGGACCUGCGGAUCGCGGCACAGGAAAACAACUCACAAGGCAAAAAAGCACAUCUCAUGGAUGGAACAUGGUGAAGUGGUUACGAGAACAGACUUUGGAGCCAGACUGCCUGGGUUUGAAUUGUGCAGUUUCAGAUUUCUGCUUGACAGAUUAACCAACGGCAAGAGGGGCUGAUCUGUCUACAUUCUGAGUACUGCCCUUGGCAAGCCACCUAUAACAGACCCUGGACCCAAGUCUACCGUACUACCCCUACCCCAGCCUGCCCCAGACAGUAUUCUGGGGUUCACCUGAGGUCAGCAGUGUGAAGAUGAUCAGUGCCUUUUUAGCAUGACGACUUUGGACCAUGUGAUUGCCACCCACCAGUCAGAGUGGGUCUCCUUCAGUGAAGAGCCACCCUUUCCUGCCCACUCGCAGGGGGGCACAGAAGAGCACCUCCCAGGAUUGUUAUCUUCCUCAGACCAGUCCGAGAGCUCCUCUGGGGAGAACCAUGUGGUGGAUGGAAGCUCUCAAGACCAUUCCCACUCGGAGCAGGAUGACUCCUCGGAAAAGAUGGGCCUCAUUUCUGAAGCGGCUUCCCCACCUGGGAGCCCUGAGCAGCCCCCACCUGACCUGGCCUCAGCCAUCAGCAACUGGGUUCAGUUUGAAGACGACACGCCCUGGGCCAGCACAUCUCCACCUCAUCAGGAAACAGCCGAGACAGCCCUACCAUUGACCAUGCCCUGCUGGACAUGUCCUUCCUUUGACUCCCUGGGGAGAUGCCCUCUGACCUCUGAGAGCAGCUGGACCACCCAUUCUGAAGACACCAGCAGUCCUAGCUUUGGAUGUUCAUAUACAGACCUACAGCUCAUUAAUGCUGAGGAGCAGACGAGUGGCCGGGCUUCUGGGGCUGACUCGACUGACGAGAGGACCGAGUGGCAGACAGGCAGGCAGACGGCAGUGAGUCCUGUUCAAGCAUGCUCGGAGCAUACCUCCACCCACACCCAUCGCCUGGACCCCUCGCCACCCUCUCCCCAGCCCAGGAGGAGCCAGAACCCCUGCGAGGGUCCGGAGGGGGCCUCCGCUCCCAAUGACAAUUCCUCCUCAAUCCAGGAAGAUGAAGAAGUAGAGAUGGAGGCCAUCAGCUGGCAGGCCAGCAGUCCAGCUAUGAAUGGGCACCCUGCCCCUCCAGUGACCUCUGCUCGUUUCCCCAGCUGGGUCACCUUUGAUGACAAUGAAGUCAGCUGCCCUUUACCUCCAAUCACCUCUCCUCUGAAGCCAAAUACACCACCAGUUGCAUCUGUGAUCCCAAAUACAUCUUAUAAUUCAACAGGAUCAUUUAAAAAGAGGGACCGUCCCAAGAGCACUUUGAUGAACUUCUCCAAAGUUCAGAAGCUCGAUAUUCCCUCUUUAAACCAACCGCCUUCUGUAACCGAGGCUCCACCGUGGAGGCCAACCAACCCUUUCCUGAAUGAGACUCUGCAGGAUGUACAGCCCUCCCCUAUCAACCCUUUCAGUGCUUUCUUUGAGGAGCAGGAAAGGCGCUCCCAAAACAGUUCCAUUUCCAGCACCAAGGGCAAAAGCCAAAGAGAUUCCCUCAUUGUCAUCUAUCAGGAUGCCAUCAGUUUUGAUGAUUCAAGCAAAACCCAGUCACACUCUGACGCUGUUGAAAAACUCAAACAACUCCAAAUUGAUGAUCCUGAUCACUUUGGCAGUGCAGCUUUACCUGAUGAUGACCCAGUAGCCUGGAUUGAACUAGAUGCUCACCCGCCUGGAUCAGCACGGUCCCAGCCAAGGGAUGGAUGGCCAAUGAUGCUGAGGAUCCCCGAGAAGAAAAACAUCAUGUCCUCCCGGCACUGGGGACCGAUCUACGUCAAACUGACAGACAGUGGUUACCUGCAGCUAUAUUAUGAGCAGGGCCUAGAGAAACCAUUCCGUGAGUUCAAGCUGGAGAUGUGUCAUGAGAUUUCAGAACCCCGGCUUCAAAACUAUGAUGAGAAUGGCAGAAUCCACAGCUUGCGGAUAGACCGUGUCACCUAUAAGGAGAAGAAGAAAUACCAGCCCAAACCUGCUGUGGCCCACACAGCAGAGAGGGAACAGGUGAUUAAGCUGGGCACCACCAAUUACGAUGACUUCCUGAGCUUCAUCCGUGCAGUUCAGGACCGUCUCAUGGAUCUCCCAGUGUUGUCAAUGGACUUGAGCACAGUUGGCCUGAACUACCUUGAAGAGGAGAUCACAGUGGACGUCAGAGAUGAAUUCUCUGGCAUUGUGAGCAAAGGAGACAACCAGAUUCUCCAGCACCACGUCUUGACGCGGAUCCACAUCCUGAGUUUUCUGUCUGGGCUCGCAGAGUGCCGCCUGGGCCUCAAUGACAUCCUCAUCAAAGGGAAUGAAAUCGUGUUGAGGCAGGACAUCAUGCCCACCACCACCACAAAGUGGAUCAAGCUCCAUGAGUGCCGCUUCCAUGGGUGCGUGGACGAGGGCGUAUUCCACAACUCACGGGUCAUUCUGUUCAACCCUUUGGAUGCAUGUCGGUUUGAGCUAAUGCGGUUCAGGACAGUGUUUGCCGAGAAGACCUUGCCUUUCACACUCAGGACGGCCGCAAGUGUGAAUGGGGCGGAGGUGGAGGUGCAGAGCUGGCUGAGGAUGUCAACUGGCUUCUCCUCCAAUCGUGACCCCCUCACUCAGGUUCCCUGUGAGAAUGUGAUGAUCCGUUACCCUGUGCCCAGCGAGUGGGUGAAAAACUUCCGCAGGGAAAGUGUCCUGGGGGAAAAGUCUUUGAAAGCCAAAGUGAACCGGGGGGCAAGUUUUGGCUCCACUAGUGUUUCUGGCUCUGAGCCUGUCAUGAGAGUAACUCUGGGAACUGCCAAGUACGAGCAUGCCUUCAACUCCAUUGUGUGGAGGAUAAACCGACUGCCCGACAAAAACUCAGCUUCUGGUCACCCACACUGUUUCUUUUGCCACCUUGAACUUGGCUCUGACCGGGAAGUGCCUUCCAGAUUUGCCAGUCACGUGAAUGUCGAGUUCAGCAUGCCCACAACUUCUGCCUCCAAAGCCACAGUGAGAUCCAUCUCCGUGGAAGACAAGACUGACGUCAGGAAGUGGGUCAAUUAUUCUGCACACUACAGCUACCAGGUGGAAAUUGAGCAAAAAAAGAGUUUGAAGCCAGACUUUGAAGGAGAUGAAAUGGAAAAUCCCAAGGAGUGUGGAGUGCAGUGACAAAGCCUUGCAGCAAGGAAUCCUGAUCCCAGAGUCAUGAUAAGGUGUCUUCCUGAGUAGCUGAAGUUUAAGUUAAUACCUGCUGUGGCCCCUCCAUGUUGGGAAUGGUGUACCAGAUCUUCCUGUUUGCAGUUACUUGUAUUUUACCAGGAAACCCUGAGAAUGGUGGCUUUUAGAGAGGCUCUUUGAUUCUGGUCAUGCCUGAAGCAUGUGGUUCACCUGACUGUUGGAGCUUACUCUAUUAUUAAGCCUCCUUACCUUGUCUCUGCUAAUCUCGCAGCACUAGUAUGUGGUUCGUUGUGACUGUUACUGUCAGGAAAAGAACCUUCCACAUCAGUGAUGGCACGAUUCCCUUCUGAUGUUCAUCUGUCACUCACUUAAGUUUCUGGAAAAGGCAGUCUUGAGAAGUUAAUUAAGAGUCAUCACUUUCACUCUGUCUAGAAAAGGUUCAGAAAAGGUGCAAAACAAAUUUCCUCUUUGGGUCUUACUAGACCUUUUGGAGGUGUCUUCAUUCUUUAAAUGUUAACACUGUGCAACAGAAGUUUCCAGGACAUUUCCUCCUGGCUCUGGAUUGUUUAUAUUAGAACACUUUUUCCAACUCUCUAAGGUUUCAGUCACAGGAUUUGCUAACCUGAGUCACAAUAGACAAUGGGAAAAGGCACAAUAGGAGACUUUUUAAUUCUGUGAAUGGAGCCACAUUCUGUAAAAUGGCUGUUGAUGGGAAGGCAAAAUUAAGCUUAGUUUUCUUCUCUCUGGAGAAAAGAGACAUUAAAUGUAAGAUGAUGUUCAGUUCAAGAGGUAGAUUCAGUCUCAGUGAAUUCCCAAAUUCACACUGAAAAAUAGUCCACUUCUGAUUCCUGAAACAAAUAUAUAUAAUACCUCAGGCAUUUGUAAGGGGCAUUUGGGAGUUCUUGUUAUACCUCAUGACCAAUAGACAGUUGCAUGUCCCUUUAACCCAAACUUUAUAGGAAAUUUAAGCUGCAGAGAUAAUUUUUAAAGCUGUUUUAAAAUUAAGCCUGAAUGAGCUUUCCCCAAAAAUUUAGAUUUUGAUAAUAAUCGCAGUAUUAUAAUGGAUUGAAAAAGCAUCUCUAGGGUAGAGACGGGAAAAGCCAUAUUUUUCUAAUGUUGGGAACAUUAAAUCCUGAUUCCAGGAGUCAGGACACUCACUUCAUCUUCUUUUUCUUCAACUGUUUCUGGGACACUCAAUCUUCUUUUUCUUCAUCUGUUCCUAAUCACCUGUUUCUUAUUUCUAUCUUGGUGUCUCUCCCAUGAAGACUAGAGUCGGGGGACAGAAGGCACACUUUAUCAGAUUUGUAGAUAAUGCAGAAAUGAACAACAGCUCCAGGUUUUGGCCGACGGAUUCAAGAUUAAUGGAUUCAAUGAACAAUCAUUGGAUUCUAAGUAUGUAUUGACACUGGGAUAUAGAAAUAGUUACAGUAUUUUGAAAUAUCUAAACAUAAGACUGAAACUAAAAGGAUGAUUAAAUAGGCAUUAAUGAGAAACCCUAUAUUGUUUUUUUUUUUAAAUGCAACCCUCUAGUGUGUGUUUGUGGAUGUGUGUUUAUGUGUGUGUGAUGUGUAUAUAUAUGUCUUAUGUCAUUUUGUAUAAAAUAUUGUGAAAAUUGAAGGAGGACACUCAGUAAACAUCCUGGGACUAUUUGUAAGUUAUGGCAAAACCAGAUGAGAGAAAGGAAUAGUUCCCUCUGCAUCCUUACUGUCUCUUAGUAACAGCAAAUUGUAAUUUAAAAAAAUUUAAAACUACAUACAAGUUACAAAAUAGCAUCUCCCUUGUGGUAUGUUUGAGUAUGUAAUUUUACUUUCUUUUCUGGUUGUGCUUGUGGUAGUCAGAUGUGUUGGAUUGAUUCCAAUUGGACAGAGUAAGGAAUUCCAGCAUCUUCUUCCUGUUUGCUCCUGGGUUCUCCCUCAGAUCAAAUCCUCAGUUCCAGCUGGGGAUGCUGUCUAGCCCAACACUGUGACAGAAGCCUUAAGCACUGUUGCACCUCCAUGUGCUUUGGAUCGGCAACCCCAGUAGUAUUUUACUGGAGCAGUUCUGGGAAAGCAGAUGUACAGUCAGGUCCCAACAGCAAACUCUUGGGUGUAAGAGUAAGCAUAGGGGUAAGGAAAGAGAAGGAUAUGAACUCCUCUAACCUUAAGCCAGCAUUCAUUUAACCUUUAUGUCUACUUGCCAAGAGAACCUGGAGAAAGCUACCAUAUUCAAUAGAUUAAUCAAAAUCAGUGUUUUAGCCAGGCGGUGACAGAGAAGCAGCAUUCCUCACCCUACAUUCUUGUAAUGUCUGUAAUAAAUUUUAAUGCAUCAGAAUGGAUGAACCCAAGAUCUAGUGAAUGAUUCAGCUGAUCCAGGCCUUGCAUUUUCCAUAAUUCAUCAUCCAUCUUCAUUUAAUGUAACCUCUUGCACUAUCGUGGUUAAUUUUAUGUAAAACCAGUUUAUGUUUUUUUAAAUAUGUGCCUAUGUAAUAAAGUCUACACACUGGCUAUCUCUGUAGAGGUGAGGUUUUGUUUUUAGUUGUUCUACUGAUUAGAUCCUUUUUUGAGCUGUGAAAAUUAUUAAUAAAAAUGUUUGAACAAAGUGUCACUAUGCAAAAUUUAAUGAGGUCAGACAUAAUGAAGAGUAAUGUUUAUUAAUAUAAGGCCAGUCACCCAACUUAUAUGGCUAGUGAUCAUAAGCUGACAAAUUAACAAAUGACCUGCUUAAUUAUCCUAGUUAAGUUUAUCAUAGGUAUAAUUUAGUCCAUUCCAAUUUUGUGCCUAAUUCUGUGAGAAAACAAAUAAAAAUGGUUAAAAUCCU